CUUUGCACUAUGACCCCAACCCAUAAAAUCCUCUCUUCAGUGUAAACGGAAGUGAACAGUGACCAAGAACAUUUUCCACGAAAGCGUUUUUGUUAUUUACACGUUUAUUAACACCAUGGACCUUAAAAUAUGACUAAUUUAACUGCACAGCAUUACAUUAGUUACCUCAGGGAGUGUUUAAUUCGCGUUGGAGGCAGGAGUUGGUUGAUAGCUAGCAAGCGUUACUUACUAAAUUGAAUUGCUAACAAUGGCUAACUGUAUGGUUUUUCACACUCAAAUAGCGUCCAUCAUGGAGGUGCUAGCAAAUGCAGCCGUGGCAGAGAUCUGUAAACUCGUAGACGACGACUAUGCAGUGUUUCGUUUGGAAAUAACUCAAAGCCAGAAAGAAAACAGGGGAUUGCGAAGGAAACUACAGCUACUGGAAAUGAAGGUGGCACGGGAGCGCGUCCUCGCCAGUCCCAGUGGUGUCAAGAUCCUUGACCGAUGCAGAGGAAUGGCAAGAGGUGAAGGACAUCUCACUGGAGGCCACAGGAGCUUUGUGAAGCAAGCGGGACACAAUACAUGGAGAGAUGACCAACCAAUCACUGUUGAUGAGGGGAGUGAAACCUCAACCCAGCACGUAAUUGUGAUCGAGUCUGAAGAUGCAGAGGCUGCAGGUCCUGGAGAAUCGUCUCUGGUCAAGCAGGAGGGGUCUGAAGGAGAAGAGGACCCAUGUCACAGCAGGGACAUCCAGACUGGAGCAGCAUCUGGAGUGCCCCCUGUAGCCACGGAGGACCCCACAUCCCCUACCCAGUCCAGGAUCCGACACAGCAUCACGGAGUCAGGAGGAGGGUCCAGAGGUGCUGCUGGUGAAGGAGGAGGGGUGUAAGGAGGGGAACCCUGAGGAGACCAUGGUCAUGUAGGACAACCAGACUACACCUCCUCCUGAACCCACAGAGGAACCAGCUGAGCAGCACAGGACCACACAGUCUCACAGAGGAUUUUCCAUUUCAAGCCCAAAUAUGUCAUACUUUGACAAAAAUAAGGACCUAUUGAGGAAAAUCGUUGUACAACAUCAUGUGGAGGAUGGGAAGCCUGAUCUGCUGUUAGUCAAAAAAUACAAUAUCUAAGAUUGAUUUUUGGUAUUCAUCAGUCAUAAAAGUGUAAGUAAUCGCUCAGCACUACCCACCAGCACCACCUGAAGGGGCACCAGAGAGUCCACUCAUGGGAAGAACCCUACAGCUGCCCCCAGUGUGAGGAGAGGAUCUCUCGCCAGGACCAGCUGAAGAUGCACCUGAAUUUCCACAUGGGAGAGAGGAGCUACCUCAGGAUACACCAGCAGAAAAUGCACAAAAACCAUGUAUAGAGAGUCAUUUGACAUGUAAUGUAGUACUAGUUAGGACUGUUGGUUUUGGAUGUAGUAGGGAACUGGAUGAGGUGUACUGAGGAAAGAAUGAGUAUGAUGAGGCAGAGUAGAUGAUAUGGUGAUAGUUGGUGUCUGUAAAAAUGCUUCACUGAUGAAAAGUGACAACCUUGUCCUGUUGUUUGAUGCUGGUGAUUUAUAAUGAGGAAAUGAUAGUGCCUUAAUUCAUGUUUACUUGACAGGAAGUUAAGAUAAAGAACAUAAAGAUGUGUGUAAUGUUAUAUUUUUUACAAUAACAUCCAAUGGCUGCAUAUUGUUAGGUACUUGAAUCACAGUCAUAGAGAUGGCCUUGACUGUGGUUAACAUUUUACCAGGUAAGUUGACUGAGAACACAUUCUCAUUUACAGCAAUGACCUGGGGGGAUGAAUGAGCCAAUUGUAAGCUGGGGAUGAUUAGGUGACAAUGAUUGUAUGAGGAACAGCUUGGGAAUUUAGACAGGACACCAGGGUUAACACCCCUACUCUUACAGUAAG